ensembl:rRNA 5S_rRNA 5S ribosomal RNA
GCCAACAGCCAUAUCACCCUGCAACUCACAACUGGCAACCCACUGAAGCUCAGCAGGUAUGAGCCUGGUCAGUACCUGGAUGGGAGACCUCCUGGGAAAAACUAAGGAUGCUGCUGGAA